UUCCUCCUCUCUUUUCCCUUUAUUCUUCUUCUUCUUCUUCUUCUUCUUCUUCUUCUUCUUCUUCUUCAUUUCUUUUCAUCUUAUUUCCCUGUCCCAACAAACCCUAACCACCGAAGCAUGAAACCAACUUUUGACCUAAACCUGAUUUCGGUAAAUCUCUUAUUGUCUUCUAUCAUUUGCUAAUGUCCCCAACAUCUCCUUCCUUCUUUUCAGAGAGAGAGAGGAAGAAGAAGUGCAAACUCAAUCUAAUUCAGUGAUGAGCAGCACCUUGAUGUUAAAAUAUCAGCCUGCAGGAACACCGGAAAUGGGCCAAAUAGAAUCGGGAAAAGAAAGAUGUCAUGGCAAGAUCAGGUCUCUUGCUUGUAAUAGAGGUGCUUACUGCUUAGUUUGAAGGAUUGGAAUACUAGUCUCCCUCCCUUUAUUUUAUUUUAAUUGCUCCAUGUUGUUUGCUUUCUGCAUUUUUAUCUCGAAAAUAUAGUUGCAUUUGUUGGAUUUAUAAAGAUAAAUAUAAAAAUGACUACUUGAGUUCUCAUUGUAAAUGUUAUUUAGUUGCAUCAUAUUCAUGACACAUGGAUGCUGCUCUACUCUACUUUGGUCCGUCGGAGUAAUUGAGAAGC
rnacentral:lncRNA from 1 species